rnacentral:rRNA from 1 species
UCUAGAUUUUCACCAUUAGAGGUCCAUCCUGCCCAGUGAUUUUUUAACGGCCGCGGUACCCUGACCGUGCAAAGGUAGCAUAAUCAUUUGCCUCUUAAUUGGAGGCUAGUAUGAACGGAUAAACGAAACUUAUUCUGUCUCUUUUUAGUUCUCUACAAAUUAAUUUUCAGGUGAAGAAGCCUGAAUUCAUUAAAAAGACAAGAAGACCCUGUUGAGUUUUACGACACUCCCGCUUUAUAGUGAACACGUUUGGUUGGGGCGACCAAGGAACAUUUUAAUCUUCCUUUAAAUCUAAGGCUACAGGCCUUUUUAUAUUUGACCCCUCACUGAUCAACUGACUAAACUACCACAGGGAUAACAGGCUUAUUUUUCCUGAGAGUCCACAUUAAAGGAAAAGUUUGGCACCUCGAUGUUGGCUUAGGGUAACCCCUAAAUGCAGAAGUUUAGACUGGUUAGUUUGUUCAACUAUUAAACCCCUACGUGAUCUGAG